rnacentral:rRNA from 1 species
UACGUAGGUGGCAAGCGUUGUCCGGAUUUACUGGGCGUAAAGAGCGCGCAGGCGGUCGUCCAAGUCGCGUGUGAAAGCCCCCGGCUCAACUGGGGAGGGUCACGCGAUACUGUUCGACUCGAAGGCAGGAGAGGGAAGUGGAAUUCCCGGUGUAGUGGUGAAAUGCGUAGAUAUCGGGAGGAACACCAGUGGCGAAGGCGACUUCCUGGCCUGUUCUUGACGCUGAGGCGCGAAAGCUAGGGUAGCAAACGGG